UAAUGUAUGGGGAUCUGCCCGAUAGAGGGGGAUAACUACUGGAAACGGUGGCUAAUACCGCAUAAUGUCACGGACCAAAGCAGGGGCUCUUCGGACCUUGCACUAUCGGAUGAACCCAUAUGGGAUUAGCUAGUAGGUGGGGUAAAGGCUCACCUAGGCGACGAUCUCUAGCUGGUCUGAGAGGAUGAUCAGCCACACUGGGACUGAGACACGGCCCAG
rnacentral:rRNA from 1 species